rnacentral:piRNA from 1 species
UAUCCGGUAAACCCGCCAGCAUGAGUGU